CCCUUUCUGUAUGUCCACAUGUCUGUUCCGCAAAAAAAUGGAACAUGUCCUAUAAUUGUCCGCAUUAAGGACAAGGAUUUGACUGUUCUAUUAGUGGCCAGCUGUUUCAUUCCGAAAAUACUGAAUGCACAUGGAUGUCAUCCGUCAACCUAAAAAGACA